rnacentral:lncRNA from 14 species
AUACCUCACAUGCACUUACACAGUCACCUGAGCUGUUGUCCCAUGUGGUUUUCCUGAAGUGCUUGUUCUUCACACCAGGAAUUUGUGGUUCUCCUACAGUGCACACACCACAGAUACAAACGCACAAGGGUCUUUUGAAGAGGAGCCAUUGCUGUGCAGAUGAAAGCUUUGUCUCCAGCCUGGAUAGCACAGUGGAAGGAUGGUGGUUUUGAGGAGUGCCCAAGUUCAUGGCAGAUGGCAUCUGGGCACGAUGGAACCCAGGAGUUUAAGCUCAUCAAAGGAAGGAGAAGGCUUUGCAGAAUCUGAAGACACUGGAAUACAGGCUGCAGUUUCCUGGACUUUAUGCUGCUUCUUGUGAGUAUGUCUUCCUCACAGGACUGCAGAAAAUACUGCAAAUAUAUGGACAGUGUUAUAUCAGAAACCCUCUUAAAAUGGAA